AGCCUGUGUCAUUCGCUUAAGAAAGCCAGAUGGCUCAGAUGCCGAACUACUCUCAGGGGAGACCUUACCUGGACAUUGUUCAGUUUGUUUCUCUGGAAUGUUCUUGAAGACCUGGAACACGUCUCCAGCUGAAUGUUGCGCUACUGACCCCCCUUCUUCCCUGACGGCCUACUGAAGAUGUGGCCCCCAACACUGCGGUGUGACCAUGAGUACCCUUCAGGUUUCCCCUGGAUGUACUUGAAGACCCUGAACCUCUCUACAGUGGAAAGUGGCGCUGACACCCCCCUUUCUACCAUGACGGCCUACUUGUAAUGUGGCCCCCCAUGUCGUGAUGUGUUGCCCACUAUCACUACUACAUGUAACACUGUCCACCCCAAAAUCAAUUUGGUUUACAGUUAAAGAAAACACAA